rnacentral:rRNA from 1 species
UUGGAGGGCAAGUCUGGUGCCAGCAGCCGCGGUAAUUCCAGUUCCAAUAGCGUAUAUUAAAGUUGUUGCAGUUAAAAAGCUCGUAGUUGAAUUUCGGGAUUAGUACGCUGGUCGUGCCUUCGGUACGUACUGGUGUUACUGAUUUCUACCUUCUGACGAACCAUCAUGUCAUUAAUUUGGUGUGGUGGGGAAUCAGGACUGUUACUUUGAAAAAAUUAGAGUGUUUAAAGCAGGCUCGCGCUUGAAUACAUUAGCAUGGAAUAAUGAAAUAGGACGUUGAUCCUAUUUUGUUGGUUUCUAGGAUUGACGUAAUGAUUAAUAGGGAUAGUUGGGGGCAUUAGUAUUCAAUUGUCAGAGGUGAAAUUCUUGGAUUUAUUGAAGACUAACUACUGCGAAAAGCAUUUGCCAAGGAUGUUUUCAUUAAUCAAGAACGAAAGUUAGGGGAUCGAAGACGAUCAGAUACCGUCGUAGUCUUAACCAUAAACUAUGCCGACUAGGGAUCGGAUGAUGUUAUUCUUAAUGACUCAUUCGCGCCUUACGAAAC